rnacentral:tRNA from 1 species
GAUGAAGUGCCUGAUUAAAGGAUUAUCUUGAUAGGGUAAAUUAAGUAAAUUUAUUUUACCUUC